GUAAAGGGACUCAUGGUCUGCAUCUCUUCCGGCAGAUGUUAUCCUAACAGACACAUUUAUUGGAUACUUAGUUGGAAAUACCUUAUGGUUGGUUGCAGUUGGCUAUUAUAUCUAUGUAACUUUCCUGGGAUACAGUGCAUUGCCAUUCUUGAAAAAUACAGUAAUUCUUCUGUAUCCAUUUGCACCUCUGAUUCUGCUCUACGGGCUGUCCCUGGCACUGGGAUGGAACUUCACCCAUACUCUCUGUUCUUUCUAUAAGUACAGAGUGAAAUAAAAAGUGAGAAGAUUCGAUCGUAACUGUGUCAACAGUAUUGUGAAGUGAUCAUUUCUUGUAAAACUUGUAAAUAAACUAUCUUUGUAGAUAUCUUAAAGGUGUAAAGUUUGCAAAUUUGAAGAAAUAUAUAUUAACACUGUGGUCAGGUACAUUCCUUAAAACUAAUUAAAUGUACAUUUCUAUAAUAAAUAUUUUUUAAACU
rnacentral:sRNA from 1 species